rnacentral:tRNA from 1 species
CAGAACAUAACUUAAAAAAAGUACUUCGCUUACACCGAACCGACGUCUGUUAACCCAGACUGUUCUGAG